GGCCGGUUGGCUCAGUUGGUUAGAGCGUGUUGCCCUUAACAACAAGGUUGCCGGUUCAAUUCCCACAUGGGCCA